rnacentral:lncRNA from 1 species
GAUCCCGUACGGAUCGGCGCGGCCGUCGUUCGCCCCGCCGGCGAGCAACGGGGCCCGCGCGUUCGUAGCCGACCGACCCCCGCCGGCGAGGGACGGCUCAUCCGCGUCGCCCACGCCUUCUCCCUCCUCCUCCUCCUCCUCCUCGUCAUCUUCCUGGGGUAGCGAGGGAGGGGGGAUGCGGCGGAUGGUGGCGGAGAACCCGGUGGUGGUCGUGGGGCGGAGGGGAUGUUGCAUGUGCCACGUGGCGAGGCGGCUGCUGCUGGGGCUGGGGGUCAACCCCACGGUGUGCGAGUUCGGCGACGAGGCCGCCGGGGAGGCGGUGUCGCUGGUGGAGGAGGCGGCGGUGUUCGAGGCCGGCGGCGGGGAUGUGCGGCGGCUGGCGAUUCUCCCGGUGGUGUUCGUAGGGGGGAGGCUGCUGGGGGGGCUCGAUCGCCUGGUCGCCGUCCACAUCACCGGCGAACUCGUGCCCAUCUUAAAGGAAGC